CUUAUCAAGAGCGACUGAGGGACAGGCCCUGUGACGUCCGGCAACCUGCGAAAUGUAAGGUGCUAAAUCCUGCGGCCCUGCCGAAAGAUGAG
rnacentral:ncRNA from 1 species